ACCAGAGUUUAUUGAACGGAAGUCUUCAGGAUGGAAUUUAAUAAACUUAGCGGCGGACGGGUGAGUAACGCGUGGGCGACCUGCCCUGUACAGAGGGACAACAACGGGAAACCGUUGCUAAUACCUCAUAAGACCCUAAAGGGGCAUCCCUUAUGGGUCAAAGAAUUUCGGUACAGGAUGGGCCCGCGUCUGAUUAGCUAGUUGGUGAGGUAAUGGCUCACCAAGGCGACGAUCAGUAGCCGACCUGAGAGGGUGAUCGGCCACACUGGAACUGAGACACGGUCCAGACUCCUACGGGAGGCAGCAGUGGGGAAUAUUGCACAAUGGGCGAAAGCCUGAUGCAGCAACGCCGCGUGAGCGAUGAAGGCCUUCGGGUCGUAAAGCUCUGUCCUAAGGGAAGAAUUUUGACGGUACCUUAGGAGGAAGCCCCGGCUAACUACGUGCCAGCAGCCGCGGUAAUACGUAGGGGGCAAGCGUUAUCCGGAAUCACUGGGCGUAAAGGGUGCGUAGGCGGUCUUACAAGUCAGGGGUGAAAGGCUACGGCUCAACCGUAGUAAGCCUUUGAAACUGUAGGACUUGAGUGCAGGAGAGGAAAGUGGAAUUCCUAGUGUAGCGGUGAAAUGCGUAGAUAUUAGGAGGAACACCAGUGGCGAAGGCGACUUUCUGGACUGUAACUGACGCUGAGGCACGAAAGUGUGGGGAGCAAACAGGAUUAGAUACCCUGGUAGUCCACACCGUAAACGAUGAGUGCUAGGUGUUGGGGGUCGAACCUCAGUGCCGCAGCUAACGCAUUAAGCACUCCGCCUGGGGAGUACGCUCGCAAGAGUGAAACUCAAAGGAAUUGACGGGGACCCGCACAAGCAGCGGAGCAUGUGGUUUAAUUCGAAGCAACGCGAAGAACCUUACCUGGACUUGACAUCCUUCAGACCACUCCUUAACCGGAGUCUUCCCUUCGGGGACUGAAGUGACAGGUGGUGCAUGGUUGUCGUCAGCUCGUGUCGUGAGAUGUUGGGUUAAGUCCCGCAACGAGCGCAACCCUUGUCUUUAGUUGCCAGCCAGUAAGGUGGGCAACCUAAAGAGACUGCCGGGGAUACUUCGGAGGAAGGUGGGGAUGACGGUCAAUCAUCAUGCCCUUAGUUCAGGGCUACACCGUGCUACAUGGCGAAACAAGGCUGCCAAGAGUAUCUGAACCAUCCCUAAGUCGUCCAGUUCGAUUGGGGCGAACCGCCCAUGAAUUGGAUUGCAAUAAUCGAAAUAAAAUCCCGGGAAGGUUCCGGCUUUACACCCCCCCCCCGGGAAUCAAGCCCAACCCCUUUUACCUUUUAGAACCGAAGGAUAACAAGGGGGGAGUAAAGAAAAAAAAGAAAAGAGAAAAAAAAAAAAAAGAAUUUUUGUUGUGGU
rnacentral:rRNA from 1 species